UCAGGCCAGCCUUUGGUCACCCACAGCACAUGGAACUGGGAAGCUGGGAUGUGAUCUGACUCCAAGCCCUUCAGCCCUCCGGGAGGAGAGGGCCCGGAGUUUGCCCUGCAAGUCACUGGUCCAGACAGUGGCUAACACGGAAGCAUUUUUGCAUCCGGGCGAAAAGUCCAAGAGUGACAGCGGCUGUUUCAGUGCUGCGGCACUUUCCUCAGCCCUGACUGUUCGGUUUUCUCAACAAUCCUACUCAGUUGGUUUAAUUACUGCCAGUGUUUCCCAAAUAAGAGUCGUCCAGGGGUUCCUAACAGGCAUGAGGUCAUGCCAGGUAAGAGGGGGAAGCCAGGACUUGCCCCCUGCCCCUGCCUCUGCACUCUGAGCACCAAGCUCCACGGUGUUCCAGCCUCUGCUGGGACCUGGGCCCCACCCCAGCGGCCCGCCCCGCCCCGCCCCGCCCCGCAGCUGGCCGCUGGCCCGGCGGGCUUUCCUGGACUCUGCUGUCUGCUCCUGAUCCAACAGAUUUCAGAGUCUGGUUUUUCUUUGUUUCUGGAGAGUCCAUUCCAGCAUCUAUUAAACAAGAAUCAGAAGGAAAGAUUCGAAGCAAUAUCCCAAUACUCUUUAGAUUCUAUCAACUGUGAGACACUAUGGAUUUUCUUUUUUUUUUUAUUAAAAAAAAAUUUUUUUUUCAACGUUUAUUUAUUUUUGGGACAGAGAGAGACAGAGCAUGAACGGGGGAGGGGCAGAGAGAGAGGGAGACACAGAAUCGGAAACAGGCUCCAGGCUCUGAGCCAUCAGCCCAGAGCCCAACACGGGGCUCGAACUCACGGACCGCGAGAUCGUGACCUGGCUGAAGUCGGACGCUUAACCGACUGCGCCACCCAGGUGCCCCAGAGACACUAUGGAUUUUCAAAGACGGCUGACUGCCUUUCAUGCCUCUGAACUCCGCCCUUCCUUGGCAUGAUGGAGAAGGAAAAUGAACUCAAGACCCACCUAGUACAGCAUCUGAAAUCUAAUUAGGUACCCAAACAAGCGAAUUCUUUGAACUCAACGCAUCCCAAGUUGCAAAAGUGGGCCAAGUCUCUUGGCUCCUAGGACUGCAGCUUUGCCUCCUUCAGGAGCUAGAGAGCUGAUGCUCAGGAGAACUGCAGGUAUGCGCCAGGCCCUGGGAAGAAGCACACCUUCCUGUGUAAUGCGAAGGCCUCGGUCCAGACUUCAUUCUCGCCGGGUCUCAGGGAUGGUCAUCGCUGUGCUCUUCACACGUUGUGAGAAUUCUGGGUCAUUUUCUCAAGUUUGGAAUUGUGGAUGUGGCCGUGGCUGUUUCCAGACAGAAAACAGUGGAAUCCUGGAAAGAGUCAAACAAUCAACUGUGAUUUUGUACUUCGAUCCAGAUGAAUUAAGCAAGCAGAUCCUUUGGGUUUUACACAUCUAUGAAAUAUCAGGCCCUCAUGUUCUCCUUUUGGGGUGUUCUUCCUCGAAAAGAAUGCACUUUCACUAUUUAAAUCAUAUCAGUAAAUAGUCAUAUUGUGUCUUAUGGUUUUUUGGUCCUUCUGUCUUAAAAAGAAUGAUUUCAAGAAUGAAGUUUCACAUGCCGAUUUGAAUAGUUUAAUUUUUGUUGGAAUAAUUAGUUCCCUUCCUUCUCAUCUUUUUCUGAACCCACUGGAAAAAAAAAAAAAAAAAGACAAAGGAGAGAGGCAGAGAGACACCAAAAUAACAUCUUUCCUGUUGAUAAAGCUGACAUUGGAGAAAGUGGAAUAUAUCUGUGGCCAAAUGGACUUCCUAAUCGUGAGUCCACGUGCUGGCUGCACCAGCCGAUCUGGUCAGAGGCAGAAGCAGACCACUGCUGGCCUCCACACACGGUAAGCGUGGAGAGCUUUACUGCUGUGCUUGCCGUGGGUUUGACAGCCAUCUAGAGCAUGUUUUCUCUGCUAUUUCCUAAAAGGAAGAAGAGACAGGAAGGGGCUGGGCUGUGCAUGCUUGGUUUCUUCCCACAGAUUCCUCAAUUAGGUCCUGGUUACUGUGCCCAGUAAGUGAAAGCUUUCCUGGGUCAUCCGCUGAAAUGCUGGGAAGUCCAAAGAGGUGAGGAGCGUAGCUUUGCCAGUGAGACUGUCCCGGAGUUCAACCCCCCACCACUGAGAAGCACCUUACACUCCCAGAAGCCUUCCCAGGCUCAGUUUUCUCAUCUGUAAAACAAAAAAACACCCACCCCUACAGGACUUCAGUGAGGAUUAAUAUAUGAUAUAAAGGGCUUGGCCUCUAGUAACACUUUCUAAAUAAUUCAUAUUUUAUAAAAAUGCUCUCGGCUUUAAUUUGGCUUCAGGCUUUUGAUCAGACAAUAAUAUUUAUUAUACACUUAGUAGGUAUGAAAGGGAACAGAAAGAGGUCUGAAGUCUAGGGUGACAGGUAAGACACACACAGAAUAGAAAACUGUGGGAUCAGGGACAAGUGGCUUAUUUCUACCCGACAUCUGGAAGAGGUAGAGAAUCUGAAUAGGGUGUACAUUUGAGGACAAACAGCGAAGUGACUUCCCUUUUCCUAGCUAUGAAUUUGGGAUAUUCUUCUCUUUUCCUGUUUGGGCUUUUGUGUUCCUCAGAGAGGAGACCUCUAAUUCUGAGAAGUAGGCAAGAGGAGGUCAAACUACUCACAGAACAAUGACUCAAAACCCUGAGUCUUUUCCGGAUUUACCUACAUUUAAAAACCAAAAAUCCUUUGACCCCCCCCCCCCUCAGGACUGCUGGAGGAACAGGGGCUCCUGUGGCUUUCUGGCAAAGGCAGUCAGGGUGUGAGGAAACCAGAAGGAACCAAAACACAAUGAGAAACCCCGUUCAGCCGACCACGGAAAAGUCCUCUUUGUUGUUUGAAAUUUUUAUCUUGUUUGUGGCAAAUCUAAUGAUUCAGUAACGACCACAGCUGUGUUGGGGCCCACGAAUUUCCUCAGAGGCUUCCCCCCACCCCCACCCCCCACUUGAGAGCAGGAACAAGGCCAGCUGGGUAGGCCACCCUCCUCCAGCUCUCUUCCCAGUCUCUGCAAUGUGUUUGGGACAAGCAGCGCUGGGGGCCGCCGGUCCGGAGAUUUUAUCCGACUUCUCCCGAAUCUAAUUCCGUGGGGGAGGAAGCGAAGUAAAACUGGCUGUUUUAGGUUCAUGGACGAUGCAUUUCUGGGCAUGAGGUUCAGCUCUCUGUAUCCUGCUGUUGAAGUAAGUUUGAGAGAGUCAAAUCGUUUCUCACUGUGGUCCUCACUGUGGUAAUGACAGAGAGUCACAGAGAAGAUUCCGGUUUCCCAGACCCCGCCGAGGGGGGCAGCUGGCACCUGCCGGCAACCGCCUGCUUGCCUCUGAUUUCCCUGGGUCAGCAUCUCCCUACUGUGCGCGCUGAGCCAAGGAACAAGAAGGAAAGACAAGGCAAGGUGGCCGCCGAGUGGCUCAGGGUUCUGCAUGAUCUCAGCGCGCAGCUGCAGCUGGCGUGGGUGCGGCUCCCGUGGGGAGGCCCUGGGGGCUCGGUCUCACUGGCAUGCUAAUGUCCCUCCCUGCCUCACAUGCCUCAUCUGGGAAAUGAAGGCAUGGGGGUGUGUA